AUUGAAACACCGGGUUUUGUCCGAUCACUGAAGUUAAGCAACGUUGAACCUGGUCAGUACUUAGAUGGGUAAACCACUGGGGAAUACCGGGUAUUGUAA